UAGUCCACGCCGUAAACGAUGUCUACUUGGAGGUUGUGGCCUUGAGCCGUGGCUUUCGGAGCUAACGCGUUAAGUAGACCGCCUGGGGAGUACGGUCGCAAGAUUAAAACUCAAAGGAAUUGACGGGGGCCCGCACAAGCGGUGGAGUAUGUGGUUUAAUUCAAUGCAACGCGAAGAACCUUACCAGGACUUGACAUCCCUCGAACUUUCUAGAAAUAGAUUGGUGCCUUCGGGAGCGAGGAGACAGGUGGUGCAUGGCUGCCGUCAGCUCGUGUCGUGAGAUGUUGGGUUAAGUCCCGCAACGAGCGCAACCCACGUCCUUAGUUGCCAUCAUUAAGUUGGGCACUCUGGGGAGACUGCCGGGGACAACUCGGAGGAAGGUGUGGACGACGUCAAGUCAUCAUGCCCCUUACGUUCUGGGGCUACACACGUACUACAAUGACAACGGGACAAAGGGGCAGCCAACUAGCGAUA
rnacentral:rRNA from 1 species